GCAGGCUAGGGGACCACAGGGUGCAGAGUCUGCACCUCUGGAAAGUUAUCCUGGUGACACUCCCCAUCCAGAGGAGUCCGCUUAGAAGGUUCGGUGGGUAACCUACUAGGGCAGAGCGCACCCCACGAGGAAAGAAUUGCCGGUCUGCUGGGCCUUCCAUCAGAAAGGAGACUAAACAAGCUGCUGGAAACCGUCGCUGUGGUGUGCGACCGGACUGGGAAUCGCUUUCUGAGAGAAAGAGGACUGAGGACGUAGUCGUGAACCCACCACCGGCUACUGGAGGCGGGGGCGGCGGGGGGUUAAUUAAAAAAGAAAAAAAUCCAGUACCCGCUGGAGAAUUUAGGCCGUUUGUGAGCUUUCUCCAGAGCUUUUCCCCACCGUGUUACUGGAGAGGUUACUGGUACGGAGAGGUUAGUAGACGUGUCAUUGGAUCCCCGAGACAGACCGGAUGACCCAGGGACCAGAGGCGUGCAAGCUCAACCCUGGCUGAGGGGUGUGGUGCACAGCGAAGGCGCAAAGCGGGUGACAAGUGGGUGCGAUUCACGGCACAGGAAACCUGGAGGACUCCUCCACCAUCAAGGAUUUUUUUUUCCAGC
rnacentral:lncRNA from 1 species